rnacentral:lncRNA from 12 species
AUCACCUUGCCAGCUCAUAAUAGAGCCAGGCUUUCAAUAGCCACCUGUGACUCCCAAGCCAUGCUCUGAGCCAUGCCACAGGUGGCACCUAGUUCAGCCCUGGUCUCACCUACCCAGUUACCAGCAGAGCCACUGCCCUCCAUCAGCAAGGCAUCGGAUUGGUCCAACUCCAA